AUUGAACGCUGGCGGCAGGCCUAACACAUGCAAGUCGAGCGGAUGAGUGGAGCUUGCUCCAUGAUUCAGCGGCGGACGGGUGAGUAAUGCCUAGGAAUCUGCCUGGUAGUGGGGGACAACGUUUCGAAAGGAACGCUAAUACCGCAUACGUCCUACGGGAGAAAGCAGGGGACCUUCGGGCCUUGCGCUAUCAGAUGAGCCUAGGUCGGAUUAGCUAGUAGGUGAGGUAAUGGCUCACCUAGGCGACGAUCCGUAACUGGUCUGAGAGGAUGAUCAGUCACACUGGAACUGAGACACGGUCCAGACUCCUACGGGAGGCAGCAGUGGGGAAUAUUGGACAAUGGGCGAAAGCCUGAUCCAGCCAUGCCGCGUGUGUGAAGAAGGUCUUCGGAUUGUAAAGCACUUUAAGUUGGGAGGAAGGGCAGUAAGUUAAUACCUUACUGUUUUGACGUUACCAACAGAAUAAGCACCGGCUAACUUCGUGCCAGCCGCCGCCGUAA
rnacentral:rRNA from 1 species